rnacentral:rRNA from 1 species
UCAUUACUGAUUUGUUGACACGAGCUGUUGCUGGUCCUCAAACAUGGGGGCAUGUGCACGCUCUGUUCACACAUCCACUCACACCUGUGCACCCUCCGUAGUUCUAUGGUCUGGGGGACACCCUGUCUUCCUCCUGUAGUUCUAUGUCUUUACACGUACACCGUGGCGAAGUCUUAUGGAAUGUGCACCGCGUUUAACGCAAUACAAUACAACUUUCAGCAACGGAUCUCUUGGCUCUCGCAUCGAUGAAGAACGCAGCGAAAUGCGAUAAGUAAUGUGAAUUGCAGAAUUCAGUGAAUCAUCGAAUCUUUGAACGCACCUUGCGCCCCUUGGCUAUUCCGAGGGGCAUGCCUGUUUGAGUAUCAUGAACACCUCAACUCUCAUGGUUUGCCAUGAUGAGCUUGGAUUUUGGAGGUUUUGCUGGCCUGUGGUCAGCUCCUCUCAAAUGGAUCAGCCUACCAGUAUUUGGUGGCGUCACAGGUGUGAUAACUAUCUACGCUUGUGGUUGUCUGCUGAGUAACCUUUGNNGACAGAGGNUAACUGGAGCUUAUAAAUGUCUUUCCUCAGUGAAGACAGCUUUUUGACCGUUCGAUCUCAAAUCAGGUAGGACUACCCGCUGAACUUAAGCAUAUCAAUAAGCGGAGGAAAAGAAACUAACAAGGAUUCCCCUAGUAACUGCGAGUGAAGCGGGAAGAGCUCAAAUUUAAAAUCUGGCAUGCCUCUGGCUGUCCGAGUNGUAGUCUGGAGAAGUGUUUUCCGUGUUGGACCGUGUAUAAGUCUCUUGGAACAGGGCGUCAUAGAGGGUGAGAAUCCCGUCUNUGACACGGACUACCAAUGCUUUGUGAUGCGCUCUCAAAGAGUCGAGUUGUUUGGGAAUGCAGCUCAAAAUGGGUGGUAAAUUCCAUCUAAAGCUAAAUAUAGGCGAGAGACCGAUAGCGAACAAGUACCGUGAGGGAAAGAUGAAAAGCACUUUGGAAAGAGAGUUAAACAGUACGUGAAAUUGCUGAAAGGGAAACGCUUGAAGUCAGUCGUGUCUGCCAGGACUCAGCCUUGCUUCUGCUUGGUGUACUUUCUGGUCGGAUGGGCCAACAUCAAUUUUGACCGUUGGAAAAAGGCCUUGGGAAUGUGGCACCUUCGGGUGUGUUAUAGCCCUUUGUUGUAUACAACGGUUGGGAUUGAGGACUGCAGCACGCCUUUAUGGCCGGGGUUCGCCUACGUACGUGCUUAGGAUGUUGGCAUAAUGGCUUUAAGCGACC